rnacentral:ncRNA from 1 species
GCCUGCGGACGCGGGAGCUCGGAGCACCGGGCUGAGAGGACGCUGACCGGAGCCGUCGACGGACGGACCGCAGGCUGCGUCGACCGCAGGAACCUGACCGGGUAAUGCCGGCGUAGGGAGUAGAGGUCAGAUGACC